rnacentral:sRNA from 1 species
UUAAUUUAAAAUUUGUUUUAAAUGGUUUAAAUUUCAAGUACAACAAAGUUAAUGUAAUAUUCAACAUGUUAUAAUCUCUUAAAGAAAAAAAGUAAUAAACUUACGGAAAUCAAGUCGGAAACUUCCACAAAAGGGAAUUCUUGUGUCUGCUUUUCGCGCCAGCGCUUUUAAAUGGAAACGAGGCAGUUGUUGUUGACAACAUGGACACUUCCUAAGUCAAAGGUCAUAUAAAAAAUGAAACGAAAAUAAAAUAUGUGGACCUGUAGUGUUUAAAUUUGAAAUAAAUAUGGAUUUAUAAAUUAACUCACAGACCUGGAGCAAUGUGAGACUCGAGUGUUAACCAGUCAGUAAGAAACACAAUAACACUAAGAUGACCGCACGUCCUUUAGCUGUGUUGGACUACGUCAAUUACAAAACGGACAAAGUCUUGACCAAACACGCUAGGACACGUCAUUCUCAAAGGACAAACAUUGUUCAAAGAACAUUUGGUGACAGAUAUUAGAUUUAAGUCUGAGGAAGAAACACGUUGUCACCACGUUCAGGCUCGAGUCAAAGCCGAGAUGAAGAAACUACAAUGUUACUGGAGUGAUUAGCUACAAUGGAAAGGACACUUCUAAAGUACACAGUAAAUAUUUAACUAUUGAAGCCUAAUAUUAAUAUUGAGUAAUGUGCAAAUGAGUUCUGUUAUGUACAGGAUUACACACGUUGAAUAGUGCAGUGCCAAUACCAUUAUAAUGCAUGUAAAGUUUGGAUUCGUUGAUUUAGUAGACAUUUGUGUCAGAACCUCCCUCAUACCCAACGGGUCAUCAUGACACAAACCUGGCAGCGACCCACCAUUUAGUCUCUAAGACGUGUCAGUACUCCCCUCCCCC